GACAAACAUGACUAUGCUGACA
rnacentral:miRNA from 1 species